rnacentral:rRNA from 1 species
AUACAGAGGGUGCAAGCGUUAAUCGGAAUUACUGGGCGUAAAGCGUGCGUAGACGGUUAUUUAAGUCGGGUGUGAAAGCCCCGGGCUCAACCUGGGAAUGGCAUUCGAGACUGAAUAGCUAGGGUGCGGAAGAGGGAAGCGGAAUUUCCGGUGUAGCGGUGAAAUGCGUAGAUAUCGGAAGGAACAUCAGUGGCGAAAGCGGCUUCCUGGUCCAGCACCGACGUUCAGGCACGAAAGCGUGGGGAGCAAACAGGAUUAGAUACCCUGGUAGUCCACGCCAUAAACGAUGAGGACUAGACGUUGGGGGGGUAAGCCCCUCAGUGUCGCAGCUAACGCGCUAAGUCCUCCGCCUGGGGAGUACGGCCGCAAGGUUGAA